rnacentral:lncRNA from 1 species
CCUUUGUGAACCACCAACAACAACGGGAACUAACAACAACCUCGUUUCUGUUAUUUCACCAUCGAUCUCUGACUUCUUGCCGCCACCGUCGCGCCGCCGUCCAUCCCUAUCCCACCGUCACGAACCACCCCUAUGCCACCGCUAUUGUGCUUUGUCAAUUUCUGUUUGUGGAUGGGAUUGAAGAUAAUAAGGUUAAGAAGAAGGAUAGAGAAAUGAAGGAGAUGAAUCUGGUUGUUGUUUUUCGAUUGAAAUUUUUUGGAGGAUUAUGAAUUGGAUUUGUGUUUGAUAUGUCAACGUGGGGGAUUGUUGGUUAAAGAGAUGGGAAGUUUGAAAAGUUUUAUUGAAUUGAUCUGGCUGAGUCGAAUUGAGUUGAGAGAAAGAAGAAGACCAAGAGUACACAGGUGGUGGUGGAGUCCGUCGUUUAGUAAUAAGGCACAUAGUCUGGUG